AGUAACACGUUGGAACCUGCCCCAAAGUAAGGGAUAAGCCACCGAAAGGUGGUCUAAUACCUUAUAGUAUCCAUCUCGUAUGGAUUAAAGCUUUAUGCGCUUUGGGAGGGGCCUGCGUUUGAUUAGCUAGUUGGUGAGGUAAAAGCUCACCAAGGCGACGAUCAAUAGCUGGUUUGAGAGGAUGACCAGCCACACUGGGACUGAGAUACGGCCCAGACUCCUACGGGAGGCAGCAGUAAGGAAUCAUCCACAAUGGGGCAACCCUGAUGGAGCAAUACCGCGUGCAGGAUGAAGCGUUUCGGCGUGUAAACUGCUUUUAUCACCGAAGAUUAUGACUGUAGGUGAAGAAUAAGGACCGGCUAACUACGUG
rnacentral:rRNA from 1 species